GUCCCUAGUUCGGAUUGUAGGCNGAAACUCGCCUACAUGAAGCUGGAAUCGCUAGUAAUCACAGGUCAGCAUACUGUGGUGAAUACGUUCCCGGGCCUUGUACACACCGCCCGUCACACCAUGAGAGUUGAGAAUACCCGAAGCCCAUGUCAAAGUGGUCGAAGGUAGGCUUGAUGAUUGGGGUGAAGUCGUAACAAGGUACC
rnacentral:rRNA from 1 species